AUGUCUGCUAGAUGUCUUCCAAGAAAACAUCCAUGUCUUCUAGGAAAACAGCUCUGCUUGGCCUCCUGGCAAGCGUGGGAGCCRCGCAGGAGCAGACUCGCUAACAAGAUUGCUUUCUGCAAGAGCAUCCUGAGGUUUUCUAAUAACAGGAAGCGGCGGCAGCCGCUGCUCUGCCUGCCCUCGGGUCCGGCGGCGCGCUUGCCGGGUGUGGCUGCCUCCCGUUUCGAGGAACACCAGUGUCACGCGGGGCCCCGUGCUCAGCUCGGUCCCUGUGCCGCGCGCUGCUGCCUGAGCCCGGCACCUAGCUGCUUCCCUCCGCUCGGUCCCRUCCGGCCAGCCGAAGGGAUCCAAGGCAGCCGCUGCGCAGAGAAGGAAAUCCAGGGGCACGGCUGCAGCGGGGAAGGUGCCUUUCCAGGGAGGAACAGUCCCGAACUGGCGUCUGGAGAGAAACCGUGCUGCGGCGAUAGAAGUGAUCCCUGAAGACUCCGUGUUUGGUGAGCACCGUAGCACACCGCACGUGGGAACAGCGCGUGCSGCGCUCAGCCCCCUCUCCAGCGGCUUGCUCCUGGGCGCCGAGCUCCUUUGCUGCCAGGCCACGAUCCCACGCGUGGGAAACCCUCUGCGGCUCCUGUGUUCCCACCGGCUGCCAAGCUGGGAUGGCGUUCCUUUUUCCGUGGGCAACGCGAGUGACAGCAGUUACAGGUGUUUGGGGCUGCUCUGAGAGAAGCUCUUGCUGACACACAGGAGACAAGUCACGUUGCUUCUCAAACCCCGCGAGGAGAGAGAGGCCGCGGACCGAAGGCCWGGUUUAUUCCAGGAACAUCUCGUUCCCCAGGAAAAACACCUCCUUCUCAACGGAGCUUCAGGGUCCUGGGAGGACCUUAUGUGCCGCAAGCUUUAAAAGGGAGCGCGAGCCUUCCUGGGAGUUCCCGGGCGGAGGAGAAAGGGAGGCGUUGGUGGGUUUUUGUCCCCGUGUCACCCGUGCUGGGAUGCCAGUUUCUGCAAAUGGCAGGGUGAUACUCGCGUCUUCUGCAAAUGCUGUUMCCUGGGGGCAUCGCCUGUUCCCUGGAGCCUCUCGCCUGUGUUUUCCAGCCAGCACAGCUCAAGCUCAAGGCACCUGCAGUAGGAAACCUGGCACCAGGCUGGCUCAGAGGGACCGGAGUACCGGGGCCGGAGCUCCUGCUAACCCUGCACCCUUGAGAUAUUUCUGACAGCUAAAUAUAUAGCUAUCUACAGCUAUAAAUUAAACAGGGAUUAGGAACUGUUCACGUGGGGUGCAGUACCUGGGGUCUGCCGGCCGUUUGCAGCCCCGUUCAGCAGCUCACUCUAAAAAUUACUGCUUAAAUACGUCAUAGCUUAAAUACAUCAACUCAAAUGCACAUUUACAUCAGUAUAAAUCUACCGCUGAAGACUUGGUGAAAAGGGCACCCCUCUUCCUUUAUCCUGAUGCUUUUUGUGGAAGUAUCACCAUGUUUCUAGUUGGUUAGGGCACAGUCUAGAAGGGAAUAAGCCUUUAUGUGCUUCAUUAUUUUCAGAUAAAAAAGAAAAUCUCUUAGGGAUGUUUGAAAACAGAAAGGUUUUGAUAAUGUCUAAAACCAAAUGACAUGAAUUUUGAUAAUUUGUCAGCACUUGCAACUAGAAAUGCUAAUUCUGAUUUUUGGGAGCCGUUACUCGAUAUACACCUCUAAAGCAAAUGAAGUAAGUAUUCCUUUACAUGUAGUUACUCUGUUCAUUUCCUAUAUAAUGCCACAAAAUAGGGCCUAGAUAGACCCGCAUUUGAUCUUGUAGCUUCUCCUACAAGCGUUUUUACUUUUCCUUACUUGCCAGCGAAAGCUUCAACCUUAUCAGUGACGUUUCAUAUCAUCAGCCUCGAAGACCCAGAAACAUUGACGCAAGUGCCUAUGCAUUCAGAGCUGCAAGCAGCAUUCGGUGAGCUAAAAUACUUCUUUAUGAUAGUMUUAAAACCAAAAUUACCUGGCCUAGUAUGUGCUGGAAUUUAUGGUAGCRCAUUAAAGCUACGACAAACAACCUCUGACAAAUAAUUUGGCCGUAACUCUCGAGAACCCGCUGUGGCAAUGCAGUGGAAGUGGCAAGGGAUGCUGUUCAGCGGUGUGCGUUGCUUUUCAGUGCCAGACUUCGGAUUUUGAUUUCGACAGCCAGAAUGGUCUUAACCUACUUUAUCCAUUCUCUCUGAAAAAAAAAAGCUGUUGUUUUUUCCAGAAACUCUCUUGAUUUUAUAAAAUGUUUGAAACUUGAGAAGAGACUGGCUGUGCUUUGUCUCCAUGAGAACUGCUUCGUCCUGAUAGAUUUAGUAGAGCAUGUGUCUGUGCUCCAUGAAUCUUCCCCUAAGAAACUGCCGAAUGUAUUGUUUCCAAAUACUAAUUCUCUCAACUUCUUCAAAUCCCUUGGCACUUAUUAUAUUCAUUCCUCGCAAGCAGUAGUGAAAACAAAUGUUCUUUGUGUAAACAGACUUUGACAGAAUGUGGGAACCUAAAUAAAUAUGGUUAUAAUAUGAUAUAAAAAUCA
ensembl:lncRNA